ACAAGCGGUGGAGCAUGUGGUUUAAUUCGAUGAUACGCGAGGAACCUUACCUGGGCUCAAAUGUAUGUUGACGUAUUCUGAAAGGGAUACUUCUUCGGACAAUAUACAAGGUGCUGCAUGGUUGUCGUCAGCUCGUGCCGUGAGGUGUCGGGUUAAGUCCCAUAACGAGCGCAACCCCUAUCAUUAGUUGCCAUCAGGUCAAGCUGGGGACUCUAAUGAAACUGCCUACGCAAGUAGUGAGGAAGGCGGGGAUGACGUCAAAUCAGCACGGCCCUUACGUCCAGGGCUACACACGUGCUACAAUGGCCGAUACAGAGGGCAGCUACCUGGUGACAGGAUGCAAAUCUCCAAAGUCGGUCUCAGUUCGGAUCGGAGUCUGCAACCCGACUCCGUGAAGUUGGAUUCGCUAGUAAUCGCGCAUCAGCCAUGGCGCGGUGAAUACGUUCCCGGGCCUU
rnacentral:rRNA from 1 species